ensembl:lncRNA
UAUAUGCCAUCCCUGGGUGUAUGUGGGUCUUGAGGGUGGUGGUGAUGUGCUGCUGACUAUGAAGGCUGUCUUCAGCAGGAGAGGCUUCUGAGAGGAAAACAGGCUGAUGAUUAAUGAACAUAUCUCUUAUAGGAGAGGGUUUUGUGGUUUGGUUUAUUUAGCUUAUCAAAGGAAGGUUAAGGAUGACUUGACCAUGGCCUGUACACACCCAUGUGAUGAAGUGAACUUUAAUAAUGGGUGCUUUCAUCUAUCAGGCAAAGAUAUAACGAGCAAAAGAAGUUAAGAGAAUGAGGCGAAGUUGUGUGAAUGCCACCUUGGAGCUUUGCGCAUGGAGACGUUGUCCACGAGACAGGAUCAUGGGAAUACAUGUGCUACCAGAGCCUUGAUAGCAAGGACAGGCCUGAGAGAUGCAAAAACUAAACAUGCAGUUGAUGCUGGUGUGCUGGUGGAGCCAUGCAGCAGGAAGUCCAUGACUUUCUUAGGAAUGAUGGGUGUUGAUACAGAAGAUCUCCUCCACUUUCUUUUGGUCUUUGUGGAAGGCAAAAGAAACAAAAUACAUAUGUAACGCUGCUGCUGUGAACACGUGAGAGGAGGAAAAAAAAAAACAACUUCUGAAAUGCGGAAACCAUUUGUUCAGGUCUCCAAGGAAAAUGAAGUCAAACCAAACAAG